CAUCUUCAAUUCUUUUUCUUCUUCCUCUCCACUCUUCCGUGAAUUCCCAAUGAGUUGUGGUCGAUUAAGAAGAGUGGGUAUUGGUUAUCACUCAAGUUUGAUUCAUAUUUUGUGAUGAAUUGAUGGAAGAAUCGAAGAGGAAAAUUAGGAUCCAGAGAAUUAGGUCGAGAGAAUUGAUUCAGAUUUUACAGUUCUCGAUAAAAUUAGGUCGAGAGAAGUUGAUUUACAGGAAUUGCCUUCAUUUAUUUACCAACUUUUGAUUUUAGCUUCGAAUGAUUUUAGCAAACGAGAAGUGAUUGAUGGAAUUUUGAUGGGAAUCCAGUGUCGAGCAUAUCUGAGAAGUUUCGCAGAUCUGGACACAUGAUACCAAAAUCUAAGUAAAAAUAUCUGGGUUUACAAAGUCCUUCAUAUGCAACUGCUGCUCUCAAAUGAUUUUGUGUGUUUUCUGUGAAGGUUUUUCGUGCUCAGAUAGCGCUUGCUAAUUACGACGUUCAUUCUGAAUUUUGGCAUCAUAAAAUGCAACUUCAGGGACGAGACCAAGUUAUUCAAAAUCUUAGAAUACAACUUUAGCAGAAAAACCAAUAUAUUCAGAUGUUGGAAAAUAUUGUUGCAAAGAAUAUGAAUCAGCAUGACUCCACUCCCGAAUAGGUUAUGGAGCUGUGAACGAUACAGACCCACUCCCGAAAGUUAUCCUCUUCAUUUGUUUGACUAGCGCGGCUACUGCUAGAGGGGGCAUUUCAGAUUCACAUCGAAACUUAGACACUGCAAAUGUGCAAAAAUGGAUGGUUCUAAUAGAGGGAACGAUGGCGCUGAUGUGUUUUUACUGAACUAUAAACUUGGGAAUACUUUAGGAAUUGGUUCGUUUGGUAAAGUGAAAAUUGCAGAGCAUGCACUGAAUGGACACAAAGUUGUUAUUAAAAUUCUUAAUCGCCGUAAAUUCAAAGGUCUGGAUCCAGAAUUAUCAUUUGAAGUCAAGAGAAUCUCCAUGAAAUUACUCGGUUGAAAUUGUCCCGGUGGAACAUUUCCAGCGAGAAAACUGUGCAUAAAUCUGAAGCUUCAAGGUUACUACAAGUAGCUAGUGAAGAAGGAAUACUUCCCACUUGAUUCUGGCGUGCAACUAAAGCAUUAAGCUUAAUUUACAUUCCAAGUUCAGGUGGUAUGGAACCAAAAAUCAGGUAAGUGCCAGGCGUUGGUGCAACAGAUUAAUAGCAUUCAAUAGGAGACAGUUGUUGAUCCUGACAUAUUGUUAUCAAUAAGCAUUGGUUUUUCAAGUUCAAACAAAUGCACCGAAGAUGGAAAUACAAUUCCAGAAAGAAAGUUGAAUGAAACAUCGAUCGUUUUGAGUUUA